rnacentral:rRNA from 1 species
AUGAACGCUGGCGGCAGGCCUAACACAUGCAAGUCGAACGGACCCUUCGGGGUUAGUGGCGGACGGGUGAGUAACACGUGGGAACGUGCCUUUAGGUUCGGAAUAGCUCCUGGAAACGGGUGGUAAUGCCGAAUGUGCCCUUCGGGGGAAAGAUUUAUCGCCUUUAGAGCGGCCCGCGUCUGAUUAGCUUGUUGGUGAGG